rnacentral:tRNA from 1 species
GGGGGUGUGACUCAGUGGCGAGCACUUGCCUAGCAAGUAUGAGGCCCUGGGUUCCAUCCCCAGCACACCCU